AGUGAACGCUGGCGGCGUGCUUAACACAUGCAAGUCGAACGAGAACGGAUUAUAGCUUGCUAUAAUUGUCAGCUAAGCGGCGCACGGGUGAGUAAUGUAUAGGUAAUAUGCCUCUUACUAAGGGAUAACAAAUGGAAACGUUUGCUAAUACCUUAUACUCCUUAUUAACAGAAGUUAAUAAGGGAAAGAUUUAUUGGUAAGAGAUUAGCCUGUAUUGUAUCAGUUAGUUGGUGGGGUAAUGGCUUACCAAGACUAUGACACAUAACUGGUUUGAGAGGAUGAUCAGUCACACUGGAACUGAGACACGGUCCAGACUCCUACGGGAGGCAGCAGUGGGGAAUAUUGCACAAUGGACGAAAGUCUGAUGCAGCAACGCCGCGUGGAGGAUGACACAUUUCGGUGCGUAAACUCCUUUCAUAUGAGAAGAUAAUGACGGUAUUAUAUGAAUAAGCACCGGCUAACUCCGUGCCAGCAGCAGCCGCGG
rnacentral:rRNA from 1 species